GACGAACGCUGGCGGCGUGCCUAACACAUGCAAGUCGAACGGAAAGGCCCUGCUCUUGUGGGGUGCUCGAGUGGCGAACGGGUGAGUAACACGCGAGUAACCUGCCCUUGACUUUGGGAUAACUCCUGGAAACUGGGGCUAAUACCGGAUAGGAGCUCCUGCUGCACGGUGGGGGUUGGAGAGUUACGGCGGUUGGGGAUGGACUCGCGGCUUAUCAGCUUGUUGGUGGGGUAGUGGCUUACCAAGGCUUUGAAGGGUAGCCGGCCUGAGAGGGUGACCGGCCACAUUGGGACUGAGAGACGCCGCAGACUGCAACGGGAGGCAGCAGGGGGGAAUAUUGCACAAUGGGCGGAAGCCUGAUACAGCGGCGCCGCGUGCGGGAUGACGGCCUUCGGGUUGUAAACCGCUUUCGCCGGUGACGAAGCGUGAGUGACGGUAAUGGGUAAGAAAGCACCGGCUAACUACGUG
rnacentral:rRNA from 1 species